rnacentral:lncRNA from 1 species
GCUACGGCGGCGGCGUUAGCUCACUUCUUAAAAGCUUUAUAUUUUAGAAGGUGGAAGACCUGGAUGCUUCAUACUUUGUAUAUAGAUGCUUCAUGUUACAAAGUUUCCGUCAGUCACAUGUUCAAUGUCCUUGACCUCAUUUUCAUGGUUCAGUGACCACUUGAAAAAAAAGUUCAAAUUUUUUGUAAUGUUGAAUUCUCUCUUAUUAUAAGUAAUAGGA